rnacentral:siRNA from 1 species
UGCCGUUUGGUGGAAAAGUA